AUGGGUUUGCAGGAGGAUUUUGAGGAGCAUGCUGCCAAAGUCAAGACUCUAAAAGAGAGUCCAUCAAAUGAAAACUUGCUUAUCCUUUAUGGAUUGUACAAGCAAGCCACUGUUGGACCUGUUACCACCGCUCGUCCUGGAAUUUUCAGCCAGAAGGACAGAGCCAAAUGGGAUGCAUGGAAGGCAGUUGAAGGAAAAUCCAAGGAUGAAGCAAUGAGUGAUUACAUCACUAAGGUAAAAUGGAUGACAACCAAGAUUUAUUGA